GAAGUUGAAGAUAGAGCUUAUGAAGUUGAUUCUGAAAUGUAUGAAGCUGUUGAAAAAGAAAUCAAUAAAUAAGAAACUGUGAUGCGUGCUCUCGCUCAGCAUCGCCCAUGUGCCGGGAUGAGGGCCCAACCUAUAGUGGGAUACGCCGCUUAGUCUCCGCCUGGGGGUAAACGGAAGAAGACAAUCAGGCUGACCCGAAGGGAAUCCGGUUACGGGGAGUUCCUAGGGUGACAUCAAAACCGUGACUACACCCGUAGAAGCCUAUGCUGCGUUGCCUUCGGACAGGGGUUCGACUCCCCUC
rnacentral:tmRNA from 1 species